UAUUUUUGUCUUAAAGGAUACGGGUUUUUGAAAGUAAAGGAGCAAUAUCAACAGAGUUUCUAUUGCUCCUUUACUUUUUUUUUUGACAUUGCAAAGUCAUAUGUUUAAAAAAAAAGAACAAAUGAAUGCUUCCAUUCUUUUGCUUUUUGUAUCCCAUCCUAUCUUAUCUUAGAAAACGAGUCAAAACUAAAGUUAGAGAAGAAACAUAAAAAUAAUAACAAAAGAAAAGAGUAUAAAUGGUAUGGUUUAGUCUAGGAGAUU
rnacentral:misc_RNA from 1 species